rnacentral:tRNA from 1 species
GAGAGAGAAUAUUAUAGAACUGCUAAUUCUAUGCCCCAAAAUUAAACCAUUGGCUCCCUCC